rnacentral:rRNA from 1 species
AUUGAACGCUGGCGGCAGGCCUAACACAUGCAAGUCGAACGGUAACAGGAAGAAGCUUGCUUCUUUGCUGACGAGUGGCGGACGGGUGAGUAAUGUCUGGGAAACUGCCUGAUGGAGGGGGAUAACUACUGGAAACGGUAGCUAUUACCGCUUAACGUCGCAAGCCCAAAGAGGGGGACCUUCGGGCCUCUUGCCUUCGGUUGUGCCCAGAUGGGAUUAGCUAGUAGGUGGGGUAACGGCUCACCUAGGCGACGAUCCCUAGCUGGUCUGAGAGGAUGACCAGCCACACUGGAACUGAGACACGGUCCAGACUCCUACGGGAGGCAGCAGUGGGGAAUAUUGCACAAUGGGCGCAAGCCUGAUGCAGCCAUGCCGCGUGUAUGAAGAAGGCCUUCGGGUUGUAAAGUACUUUCAGCGGGGAGGAAGGGAGUAAAGUUAAUACCUUUGCUCAUUGACGUUACCCGCAGAAGAAGCACCGGCUAACUCCGUG